rnacentral:misc_RNA from 1 species
GAUGAAGAACGCAGCGAAAUGCGAUAAGUAAUGUGAAUUGCAGAAUUCAGUGAAUCAUCGAAUCUUUGAACGCACAUUGCGCCCCCUGGUAUUCCGGGGGGCAUGCCUGUCCGAGCGUCAUUACAACCCUCAAGCUCAGCUUGGUGUUGGGCCCCGCCGCCCCGGCGGGCCCUAAAGUCAGUGGCGGUGCCGUCCGGCUCCGUGCGUAGUAAUUCUUCUCGCUCUGGAGGUCCGAUCGUGUGCUCGCCAGCAACCCCCAAUUUUUUUCAGGUUGACCUCGGAUCAGGUAGGGAUACCCGCUGAACUUAAGCAUAUCAAUAAGCGGAGGA